rnacentral:rRNA from 1 species
UACGUAGGGGGCAAGCGUUGUCCGGAUUUAUUGGGCGUAAAGCGCGUGUAGGUGGCCAAGUAGGUCCGCUGUGAAAACUUGAGGCUCAACCUCAAGCUGUCGGUGGAAACCAUCGAACUAGAGUCCGGAAGAGGAGAGUGGAAUUCCUGGUGUAGCGGUGAAAUGCGCAGAUAUCAGGAAGAACACCCGUGGCUAAGGCGGCUCUCUAGUACGGUACUGACGCUGAGACGCGAAAGCGUGGGGAGCGAACAGG